rnacentral:rRNA from 1 species
CCUACGGGGCGCAGCAGUAGGGAAUUUUCGUCAAUGGGCGCAAGCCUGAACGAGCAAUGCCGCGUGAACGAGGAAGGUCUUCGGAUCGUAAAGUUCUGUUGAAGGGGAAAAAGAGCGGAGAGAGGAAAUGGUCUCCGAUUGAUAUUACCCUUCGAGGAAGUCACGGCUAACUACGUGCCAGCAGCCGCGGUAAUACGUAGGUGGCGAGCGUUAUCCGGAAUGAUUGGGCGUAAAGUGUGCGUAGGCGGCCUGCUAAGUCUGGAGUGAAAGGUACCGGCUCAACCGGUACAGGCUCUGGAAACUGGCGGGCUAGAGAGCAGGAGAGGGCGGUGGAACUCCAUGUGUAGCGGUAAAAUGCGUAGAUAUAUGGAAGAACACCAGUGGCGAAGGCGGCCGCCUGGCCUGUUGACUGACGCUGAGGCACGAAAGCGUGGGGAGCAAAUAGGAUUAGAUACCCGGGUAGUC